AAAUUGAAGAGUUUGAUCAUGGCUCAGAUUGAACGCUGGCGGCAGGCCUAACACAUGCAAGUCGAACGGUAACAGGAAGCAGCUUGCUGCUUCGCUGACGAGUGGCGGACGGGUGAGUAAUGUCUGGGAAACUGCCUGAUGGAGGGGGAUAACUACUGGAAACGGUAGCUAAUACCGCAUAAUGUCGCAAGACCAAAGAGGGGGACCUUCGGGCCUCUUGCCAUCGGAUGUGCCCAGAUGGGAUUAGCUUGUUGGUGGGGUAACGGCUCACCAAGGCGACGAUCCCUAGCUGGUCUGAGAGGAUGACCAGCCACACUGGAACUGAGACACGGUCCAGACUCCUACGGGAGGCAGCAGUGGGGAAUAUUGCACAAUGGGCGCAAGCCUGAUGCAGCCAUGCCGCGUGUAUGAAGAAGGCCUUCGGGUUGUAAAGUACUUUCAGCGGGGAGGAAGGGAGUAAAGUUAAUACCUUUGCUCAUUGACGUUACCCGCAGAAGAAGCACCGGCUAACUCCGUGCCAGCAGCCGCGGUAAUACGGAGGGUGCAAGCGUUAAUCGGAAUUACUGGGCGUAAAGCGCACGCAGGCGGUUUGUUAAGUCAGAUGUGAAAUCCCC
rnacentral:rRNA from 1 species